GGAGGUAUAGCUCAGUGGCAGAGCAUGUCCUUGGCGUGCGGAGGACCUGGAUUCAAUCCCCAGUUCCUCCG
rnacentral:tRNA from 1 species